rnacentral:lncRNA from 1 species
AUGUCCGAUUGCUAGAGAAGCUCAUCAGGAAAUCGAAAAGCGCUAUUGAAGGUUGUCCGAUAGAGGAGUCCGAAAAGUGUUGUAGGAGCUCGUCCGCCGGAGGAGCUCGACUGGCACUUGUAGAAGGCCGAUGGCUUAGAGAGGUACAGAAGACACCGGAGGUAGUCGGUCGCCGAAGAAAUCCGUCUGCUGGAGCCCAUCCGUUGUGAAAGCUCAUCUGAAAUCCACCUGUUGUAGAAGUUCGGACGG